UAUAGAGCAACAGCAAAAAUGGUGGGAUCUGCCCUGGUUUCUGAUGCAGCCAUGUCAGACAGCAGAGCCAAAGACUACUCUCCCAUAAGGAAGCAGUUCUGAAAGGCCAGUGGGAGGAGGCUGUCUGGAAUACUUGAGCCCUGAUCAGAUAAAGACAAGCACACUCAAGCCCUUUUCAGUGAGGUGAUGACCAAGAGGCAUGCCUAUUCUUAUGGGCAUGGGACAAAAGGACAAAGGGGACUCACA
rnacentral:lncRNA from 1 species